CUACUGAUAAAGAGAUUGAACAUGACCACCAGCAUAAGAGUCCUGAUGCCAUUGAAAAGGGUCUCCUCCCUUUAUCUGCUUUUUCUCAAAAUCAUUAUGUCAAUGCUCAGACUAAUAUGAAACUUAAGCUCCAGUUGUUCCCAAUUGAUGAUGGCACUCGAAGAGCCUUAGAAACGGAUAAACAUAAUCCACAUCUGGAGCUGACUCUUAGUACCCGGAAAAAGAUAUCAUCAGUACUGGAACACCUAAAUCGGAAAUGGGGCAAUUCAAGUAUAGCAUCUGGAGAGUUAAUGCUUUUCCCUUACAGUGCUCUUAGAGAAAAUUUUGUUGAUAAUCAGAGAUGGACUCAAGACUCCAUUGUCAGUGCAUUAGAUGUAUACACUUCAAUUGGAAGCCCUCCAGUGUUCCGCUUAAGAUAUGGUUGGUUUUCCAACAUUGAAUUGGCAUCUGUGACACUGCAAGCACCUUCAGCAUCCAGUUCCAUUCCAGGUGGAAAUUCCAUUGACAUGGAAAAUGCAAAGAGGAAGACUGUGGACUCCAUAACCACAUCCGGACUCUCAACCAAUGAUAGAUCUGAGAAAAAUAUGGAUUUCUGUGAGGAUCAGCUAUCCACAGGAAUCAAGAGUCAUGAUUAUGCACUCUCUUCCACAGAUGUGCCCAAUGAUCUAAGUGGGUUUGCCACAGGACCUAGAAAUAACUUUGAUGGGUCGUCGGAUCCUGCAGCAAAGGUAUCAUGGCAUGAAAAGGAGACUGGUGAUAGGACAAAUAUGAAACAUUCAGAUGCUGCAGGUCACCUGAGACUCUGCAAUGGCGCUGCAUUAUCUGCUGGAAUGGGCUGACAGCCUCACCAACAUUAGUGUUGGAGAUCUACUGUCAGAAGUGCCUCAUGAUGUAGAUCCUAACUGCAUUGAACUACCUAUUGCUCAAAGUAGCCAAUGUCUUCAACAAAUACCAUUUAGCUGUGAUUCAUUUGAUGCUGCUAUUGCUGCUCAUAUGUCAAGACAUCAGAAUAAGAUCGUAUCUCCUUCCACGGUGGCAUCCCACAUAUUUUCAAUCUGGGAUGCUGAAGAAACAUGUGAUGCCUUCUCAUUUCAAAAGAAUCAUGCUCUGCACCAGGAAAUUCCUACUUCAAUCGAUGCUGUCUCUACAGGGGCUGGCAAACAGAUGAACUCAAUGGUUUCUGGUGCUUUUGUUGAGGGAUUGCCUAGUGGAGAGGGGCC
rnacentral:misc_RNA from 1 species